rnacentral:rRNA from 1 species
CGAACGGGUGAGUAACACGUGAGUAACCUGCCCCAGACUCUGGGAUAACCCCGGGAAACCGGAGCUAAUACCGGAUACGACGCGAAGAGGCAUCUCUAACGCGUGGAAAGAAUUUCGGUCUGGGAUGGACUCGCGGCCUAUCAGCUAGUUGGUGAGGUAACGGCUCACCAAGGCGACGACGGGUAGCCGGCCUGAGAGGGCGAUCGGCCACACUGGGACUGAGACACGGCCCAG